rnacentral:lncRNA from 1 species
GGAUCCAUGGGUUUGGAUUUGACUUCCUUGAUCAUUUUAACCAUAUCUCUGAUAUCUCCGAUUAAGGGACGGUAGGAAUUGCCUUGGAUACCUUGCUCCUUCAGACGCCUCUCUAUUCUCUUAGGUCUCAGCCAUACCCAGUUGAGCGCAUUCCAGAACCACCAUAACAGCACCGUCGCAAUGAAAGUAACAAUGGCGCAUGUUGAUGGAUUGAAAUUGAGAGAUGAUGAUAUGGCUGAAGCUCCCAUAGUCACCAUUUGUGUAGUACUGAGUUUGUGUGUGGCUAAGGUGAGAGAUAAUAUAAUGGAAAAGAGUGUAGUAUUUUGAGAAAUAAAAACGUGAAAAUUUGUCCCACGAGAACCUCGCAUUUAUAAUAUAAUGACAUUAAUGACAACGAGGUCACUCUUUUUCAAAAUCAUUUAUUAAAAUAAAACAAGAAAAACAUUAUUUUAUAAGGGUGACUCUCAAUGUACUUUUAUAACACAGGAAAAAGUUUGUUUCACAUGCCUAAAAAAAAUCACAUUCAUUUGAUAUGAUGUUUAAUAAUAUAAUAAUAUAAUUAUGAUUUUAAAUUAAAAAAGUAAUAUAAUUAUAAUUAAAAUAGUAUUAUUUUUUGUAUAUUAUAUGAAUUUUUUUGUGGUAAGUAUUACUGACCUUUAGAAUAUCCUAUUUAUCUCUUUUUUAAUUAUUUUAUUAUUAUUUGAAAGCUGGCUCCUUUUCUUGAUAGUUUUCUUCCAAUUUACUCGUAUUUAUGUGUGCCAAUGUCUGAGAAUUCAAAAUAUUAGUUCUUUUUAUUAUUAAAAUGACUUUUCUUUAAAAAUUUACAAAAAUAAAUAAAUUAGAAAAAUUAAUUUAGUUAUAACGUUACACACGAUUUAAAUUGUGAAAAAACUAUAUUAAUAUAACACGAAUUUAUUUUAAAAUAUAAGCUAUAUUAAAAUAAUACGUGUUAAUUUCAUAUAAUUUUAAUUCAUGAUUGAAGUUGUACUGUACUUGAGCUUAGGGUGUAUGCUCUGAAUUAUGAAACAUGAUUUCACAGCUUUAAAUUAAAAUUAUAGUUUGAUAUAAUUUUAGUUCAAUUAUGAUAGAAAUUGUACUGUACUUGAGCUUAUACUGUAUGCUCUGAAUUAUGUAACAUGAUUUCACAGCUUUAAAUGCUUUAAAUUAAAGUUAUCCAUAAGUUGAAGUAGUUGAAACAACUUAGAUAUAUUUACUUAUAUUUAUAACAUUUUUAAAAAAUCACCUACUUUAGUAAAUUUUAUAAAAACAAGUUACCGACAUUAAUAAAAAAAAAAGUCAAAUAUAUUAUGAUUUUACAUUAAAAAGUAAAAUUUUUAUAAAUUUUAUUAUAAUAAGUUAGUUAAUUCGAACUUACAUUUAUAUUUAUAUAUAUAUAUGUAAUAAUAUAAUGACAUAUAUUUAUUUUUCGUAUCAUAAUUUAAUAUUUAACUUUAACUUUUAUAGUAGAUUUUUCUAGUUAUUUAUUUAGACAUAUUAUUAUAACAAAGUCUUUCCAGUCAAUUAUAGAUUUUUAAAGUUUUAUAAAAAAAAUUAUAAUUUAUUAAAUUCUGGAUUUUUCGACUAAUAUAGUUUAAUACAAAAAGAAAAUUAAAAAUUAACAACAGAAAUCUCAACAAAAUAAAAUUCUUUUUGUACCUUAUCCAGAAUUUGUAUUAUGAUAAACCAUGAGACAAAGAGUAAUUUUAUGUAUUUUAAAAUCAUUUUUCUUAUAAUUUACUAAAUACGGUGAAAAUUACAUCAAUGUUUAUAAUUUGGGAAUUAUUUCAUCUACAUAAUGUACACUAUAAAAAUUGUAAUCUUUGGUUUUCUUCUUUAUAAAUUGAUUAGUUCUCUAUUACUAAAUAGAAAAGGAAAAUUUUACUUAUAUUUAUUUAUAUUUGUUUCAAAAUUAAAUUUUAUACACGAAAUCAAAUUUUGAAUAUAAAGUUAAGAUAAAUUUAUAGUUUAACAAACAUCUUCAUAACUAAAUAUUUAUCAUCUCUGCAUCAUGUUAUAAAUGGAUUGAAUUUUAACCUUUUAUCAAAUUUGAUUUGACAGGAAUAUAUUCUUCUUAGCCAUUAAGAUUUCUAACCAUAUAUAUACUUUUUAUUUGUAAAAAAAUAAAGUGUACAAAAAAACUAAUUAAAGAAUCUUCCCUUAUUUAAAUAAAGAUAGAAUAAACACGUAAUAUUUUCUGAUUAUAUAUAAUUUUUUAAGAAAUAUCAUAUUUUUUAAUUAUUGUUCCCACUAAAUUUAUUUUUUAAAAUAUAAUAACUCAUAAUUUAAAUUAUUUUUACUUUCAUAUCACCAUAUAAUUUAAUUUCAAACAUUUAUAAAAAUUUUAAAUUUAUUAAGAUAAAGUUUGUUCUACAAAUAAAAUACAAUUAUUAUUGAUUAGCAAUCUUUUUAUUAAAAUAAAAGUUACUUUGUACUUACACACACACAUAUAUAUAUAUAUAUAUAUAUAUAUAUAUAUGGGGUUUGUUAACACGCGUACGUCUGUUUUUCAGUUCGUACGUUUUAACAAUGUGUACCAGAUUAUAGUAGAUAAAAAUACCCUCAUUUAUCAUGGAUUCUAAGUUUUAAGGUAAAGAAUAUUUAAAUAAUUUUCAUUCUCAAAACUAAAAUAAGAAAAAAGAAACCCCAAACCCUUACUCACCUCCCUUAUUCCUCUCAACCCUUUCUCUUUCAUCUCUCACUCCAACAUUUUUUCUCUCAUCCCUAUUGUCCCAAUUGAAAAAAAAAUCAUAAACUCUUGCCUAACCCUUGUUCUUUUCCCUUUACAUAAAGUGUUUCUUUUUCCUUUCUCUAUUGGUAUGCGAUACAUGAUGUAAGAUUACAACCUACAAUUGAAAGAAUUGUACUCCUAGGGAACUCUUCUAUACCUAUUUCUUUAAUUUUCUUAUGUUCCUUUUUUAUCCCUGAAUCAACCUCUACAGGAGUUUAGAAUAAACUUUAACCACUGUGUAGGAUAAAAAACACAGUAAAAUCAUUUUUUACCUGAGAUUUGGAAAGAGUAACAUAAAAUGACAAAGUUUAUAUUCAUUUUACACACAUUAAUAAAUAUAAAAUUAUUAUAAAAGAGUAAACUUUUUCAAUUUUUAAAAAAUAUCUCUGAUUCAAAUUACCACCACUAUCUUCAAUUGGGUUGAGAUGAGAGAAAAAAUGUUGGAGUGAUGACAGAGAAAAUGUUGAGAUGAGAGAGAAAAUAUCUCUCAUAACAAAGGGUUUCUAAUUUUUUUUCAAUUGGAGCAAUAGUAGGGAUGACAGAGAAAAUGUUGGAGUGAGAGAGAUGACAGAGAAAAUGUUGGAGUGAGAGAGAUGAAAGAGAAAGGGUUGAGAGGAAUGAGGGAGGUGAGUAAGGGUUUGGGGGUUUCUUUUUUAUUCUAGUUUUGAGAAUGAAAAUUAUUUAAAUAUCCUUUACCUUAAAACUUAGAAUCCAUGAUAAACGAGGGUAUUUUUGUCUACUAUAAUCCAGUACACAUUGUUAAAACGUACCAACUAAAAAACAGGCGUACUCGUGUUAACAAACCCAUAUAUAUAUAUAUAUAUAUAUAUAUAUAUAUAUAUAUAUAUAUAUGUUUGUGAUAUAAGUUAACAUCUUAUUUUAAGUACCCUUACAUUCAACUAAUCAAUUUAUUUUGGAAUCUUAAUCACUCCAACAUAUAAUAGAAAAAUAUCAUAUGACAUAAUUAUGUACUUUUUCACAAUCUACUUCUACUCAUCAAUAAUGUUAUGUAAAUUUUAGUCUCAUUAACAAAGAAGUGAUUUUAUACAAACUUUCUACCAAAGAUAAUGUUUUUCUUAAUGGAAAACCUCAAUGGUCCAAUCACAUCAUAGAGUUAAGUUAAGAAGAAUUAAAUUUAUUAGUGAAUGGUGAAACUAAACUUUCUUUCUUUUUGCUCAUGGAACAUAAUAAAAUAAAAUAAAUAAAAUAAGAAUAAUUUAAGUCUUAUACUUUAGUUAAGUAGUAUAGGAUUUUUAAGUAACAUAAAUCAACAAAUGUCAACACUUAAAAUUUACUUAGAUGUAUAUAGAAAUUGAUUACAUGAAUCAAAGUUGUGUUAGUUUGAGAAGCAAGUGUGAAGGGUAGUGGAGAGAAUUUCUCAUAAGUAGUGUUUAUGUGUCAUUUUAAGAAUGGAAAAUAUUCUUUUAUGUUAGUUAGUGGUCACAUGCCAUUCUCUUAAUGGAGAUGAUUUUUACCUUGGUCUCCAAGAUAGUCAAGUUAAUGGUUUUAGGGUUUUGCUUCUAUAAUUUGGAGACAUUCUUAAGAUUAUAAAUAAAGGUGUCUCUUCCAUAUAAAUUCAUUUUAAGAAUUGUAAUAAAAUGUUACCAAAUUAUCGAACUAUUCUUAACUUAUCUCUAAGUCAUGACUAGAGCAUAUAUGUGGUUUCCUCUAACCAUCUUUUUUAAGAGUUAAUCUCUUAAGAGCAUCCAACAAUAGUUAACCUCUUAAGAGCAUCAAACAACAUCAUACUUUCACUUAAAAUGCCAAACCCAGACCUAUCCUUACCUAUUUCCCCAUUGCUUUCAUCCAUCUUUGAUCACCAUAGCUUCUCUUCAUGUCUUCAUGUUUGGAGUUACCUAAAUUAAGAAGAAGUUAUCAUCUUUAUUCCCAAAGACACAUUAAAUAAUUAAUUAUUCAUAAAAUUAAGUUUACUUCUAAGUUAAAUUAUUUUGACUUUUGUUAUUUUCAUUUGUAACAUCCCAAUUUAAUAGUAAAAUACUACUAAAAUGAAUAUUAAUUACAUAUAUGAUAAGGAACAAAACUAAAAUUUUAUGAAGAACUAAAUUCUUCACCUAAAGAACGAAAAGCACAACUUAUACUUCCACUGCGCAUCUAACUUCCAUCUUAGCCAACUGAAAAGAUUGCAUCCCUAAGCUCACACCAUUAAGGUGAUCAUCGCAAAAGAGAAAACAAUACACAGACAGACAAACACAGAAGCAAGGGUGAGCUAGAUAUACAAAGAUCAUACUACUACAAUAACACACAACAUACAUGUUUAAUUCAAGUAAACUGGAUCACAUAUUAUAACAUGUUAUACUUAAAACUUAACUCAAGACAUGAACAACCAAAUACCAUCAUACAUGAUCAUACAAUAUCAUAGAUACUUCUACACCAUUCUAAUAAUCAAAACAUAGCUAAAGGUUAUCAUAAAAUAGAGAUAAAAAGAAUAAAAAUAGGUUUUGGACAAGUCGCUUAGCGCACCAAACUCGUUGUGCGAAUAACAGAAAAAGUGGGUUUUACUCACUCACAUUCGCUCCGCGCACCAAGCCUGUGCGCUCAGCUAAAGCCCAUUCGCUCAACACACCAAGUCUGUGCGCUAAGCUAAAGCCCAUUAGCUCAUCACUCCAAGUCUGUGCGCUCAACUAAACUGAAAAUUCUAUUACACAUUAUCAGACCCUAAACCCUCGCAUAACGCCCUAAUUCGCUAUGCGAGUGCCCCAAGCAGUGACUCAGACUCUCCAAACAUUCGCAAAGCGCACCUAUUUGCUAUUCGAAUUAACCAACAUUAAUUCCAGACUCCUCCCAAUCGCAUAGCGAUUAGAUUCGCUAUGCGAAUCAGCAGACAAAGGGGAACCCUCUCCAACCACUCGCACAACGCACAAAUUUGUUGUGCAAAUAACCAAACAAGGGAUACCUCUCUGUGAGGACUCGCUAUGCGAGACCAUUCGCAUAACGAGUCUGCAUAAUCUGCAGAACGCAAAUUCUGCAGAUUUAUGCAGCUCACACCCCUUAUAUCAUGUCUAUCCAUUUUUACCAACUUCUAACACCUCUAAUUUGUAUUUUAUACUUAGUUAAACUUGUCUAGAUGAUCCUGAACAUUCCUACUACAGUUCCAAAGUGAUUAAGAUUGAGUUCCUACUCAAACACUAAAAUUAACAACUUAAUGACCCAAAAUCAAUUCUACCACCUUUAACAUGUUUUUAGACCAGUUUGAUGUUCCUAACAUGUCACAAUUGACCUCCCUAUACUGUCCAAACAGAUUACAAGAGCCCUAGACUCCUAACUCUCAAAUUCACUAUCUCACUUCCUCCAAAAUAACAAAAAAGACUACCAAUUCACUGUACUUUCUAGCUAAACAAUGUUGUAACAGAUUUCACACCCCAAAUCAUUCCAAAAUUAUCAAUCACAACAUAUUAAACUCAUCCACUUAGUUCGUAACAUCACAACACACCACAGAUUGCACAUUUCAACACAUACCACACAAUAUACUCAAAAACUUAAAAUACAACUCAAACAACACACCAAUUUGUUUUCACUUUAGUGUCAAUGUGCUCAAAAUAUGAUGGGUCACGUUUCAUAGACCUCUCAUGACGUGCAACUUUAGUCUUCUGUAUGAUGAAGGUUGAAAAACAGUUAUUUUCAUAUGUCAAUUUGGACCAAAUUACACCCUUUACUACNNNNNNNNNNNNNNNNNNNNNNNNNNNNNNNNNNNNNNNNNNNNNNNNNNNNNNNNNNNNNNNNNNNNNNNNNNNNNNNNNNNNNNNNNNNNNNNNNNNNNNNNNNNNNNNNNNNNNNNNNNNNNNNNNNNNNNNNNNNNNNNNNNNNNNNNNNNNNNNNNNNNNNNNNNNNNNNNNNNNNNNNNNNNNNNNNNNNNNNNNNNNNNNNNNNNNNNNNNNNNNNNNNNNNNNNNNNNNNNNNNNNNNNNNNNNNNNNNNNNNNNNNNNNNNNNNNNNNNNNNNNNNNNNNNNNNNNNNNNNNNNNNNNNNNNNNNNNNNNNNNNNNNNNNNNNNNNNNNNNNNNNNNNNNNNNNNNNNNNNNNNNNNNNNNNNNNNNNNNNNNNNNNNNNNNNNNNNNNNNNNNNNNNNNNNNNNNNNNNNNNNNNNNNNNNNNNNNNNNNNNNNNNNNNNNNNNNNNNNNNNNNNNNNNNNNNNNNNNNNNNNNNNNNNNNNNNNNNNNNNNNNNNNNNNNNNNNNNNNNNNNNNNNNNNNNNNNNNNNNNNNNNNNNNNNNNNNNNNNNNNNNNNNNNNNNNNNNNNNNNNNNNNNNNNNNNNNNNNNNNNNNNNNNNNNNNNNNNNNNNNNNNNNNNNNNNNNNNNNNNNNNNNNNNNNNNNNNNNNNNNNNNNNNNNNNNNNNNNNNNNNNNNNNNNNNNNNNNNNNNNNNNNNNNNNNNNNNNNNNNNNNNNNNNNNNNNNNNNNNNNNNNNNNNNNNNNNNNNNNNNNNNNNNNNNNNNNNNNNNNNNNNNNNNNNNNNNNNNNNNNNNNNNNNNNNNNNNNNNNNNNNNNNNNNNNNNNNNNNNNNNNNNNNNNNNNNNNNNNNNNNNNNNNNNNNNNNNNNNNNNNNNNNNNNNNNNNNNNNNNNNNNNNNNNNNNNNNNNNNNNNNNNNNNNNNNNNNNNNNNNNNNNNNNNNNNNNNNNNNNNNNNNNNNNNNNNNNNNNNNNNNNNNNNNNNNNNNNNNNNNNNNNNNNNNNNNNNNNNNNNNNNNNNNNNNNNNNNNNNNNNNNNNNNNNNNNNNNNNNNNNNNNNNNNNNNNNNNNNNNNNNNNNNNNNNNNNNNNNNNNNNNNNNNNNNNNNNNNNNNNNNNNNNNNNNNNNNNNNNNNNNNNNNNNNNNNNNNNNNNNNNNNNNNNNNNNNNNNNNNNNNNNNNNNNNNNNNNNNNNNNNNNNNNNNNNNNNNNNNNNNNNNNNNNNNNNNNNNNNNNNNNNNNNNNNNNNUCGAGUCUCUUGGGAAAACGAUACUUGGUCUUACCAUUUAUAUUACUUGUACGAUUUGGUACACUUGCCAAUUUGUCAACACUGUACAUCUUAUGUUUUCACUUUAUGCGAAGGAGAAACCAUAGAUGUCAUCUCUGGGCAAACAAUUCUAGCAUCUUCUGCUUGAUGUUGACUUUUUCACCAAUGUCAACGUUCUUGAAUCGCUCCUGUACCAGUUGAACUUCACGAUCAAGGCUAAACUCGGGAAGCGACUCAGUGGACACAAUACUUGAAAUGAUUAAACGGGUCCACAUAACAUGUAUUUCACCCAGAGGAAUUAUUCCAGGCUCAUAUCGUGCUAAUACACAAGCACAUGGUAGGCCAUAGGUUGAGCUCAAAUUGCAUUCACAACGAGCACUGUUCAAACCUAUUUGAUUCACUCACUCAACUUCAUCGGCAAUAAGUCCUAGAGCGUAUCAUGAAACACAUCCAACAAGUCUUUUAUAUCUUAAUCCUUCAUAAGCAUCAUUCAUUACGUUAAGACUUUUUUCAAACGACGGUAUGAUCUUAUUAUGUUGUAAGACAAUGACGUUAUGCAUAGCAUCCCAACACAAGCAUAAGUCUCUCAUACUAGACCCUAAUAAUCUCUUCAGGUUCUAGUGCGCAGAGUCAACCUUGUCACAAAACACAUUAAUACCAUCACAACAAAUUUGAAAUACAUAAGUAAACAAAUUAACAAUAACAAUUACCUGUUUGUUGUAGUGUUCCCUAGAUGCAUCAAUUUGUUCAUCCACGCCUUGACGAAGUAUGCCUUGUACGGAAUGACCCAAGUACGGUUCACAUAAUCAAAAAAUAGAGACCAUGAUGAAGAGGCAUACUCAAAACGAUGAACAUAAGCACCAAACAUCGACUGGUUAUCACAAUCCAUCACAUUUUGCUAAACUUCCAUCAAUACAUCGCAUGCCUCAACAUUAUCCACUAACAUCUUGCAUUUUGCUUUCACAUUCUUCAUAAUGUGGAAUGUAUAAAGCAUCUGAUACGUCUCAGGAAAGACAUUGUUAAUGACAUUUAUCAAAGCAAAUACUUUAUCACUGAUAACAAUGCUAGACUACCUUUUGAUGUCAAAAGUAUGCCUUUGAACUAGGGAUGGCAACGGGUCGGGUCGGGCCCGGAUAGUGCCUACCCGCAACCCGACCCGCUGGAUAAAAACGUACCCAUCACAUGACCCGCUACCCGCUAGGUACCCGCUUAAAAUAUACCCGCGGAUAUCCGCAAAAAAAAAUAUUUUAUAUUUUUUAAAAUAAAAUUUAAAUAAAAUUACAAAAAAUAUAUAUAAUAUAAAUUAAAUUAAAUUAAAUAUAGAUUAAAAUUUAAUUUUAAUUAAUUUUAAUCUAACAAAAUAUAAUUUAUUUUAUUUUUAAUUAAAUUUAAUUAAAAAUAUAUAUAAAUUAAUUUUUUUAUUUAUUUUUUGCGGUAAUGGGUACCCGCGGGUCGGAUAGUAUACUAUCCGUACCCGACCCGUUUAGAAGCGGGUAUUAAAAUACCUGCUACCCGUUACCCGCGGGUAGUAAAUAUCCGCGGGUAGUAACUACCCGCCGCGGGUUUUACUCGCGGAUACCCGUGCCCGCGAAUUUUUUUGCCAUCCCUACUUUGAACCUUUCCAAUGCCCAAGUGAAAUUACUUUGGCGUUCACUUGAAAACAAUGCGAAUGUCAAUCCAGUGGAUGUGACUCCUACAAUCUCAAGCAACGAAAGACGAUAUUUGUUCAUCUUGUACGUCGUAUCCAUUAAGAGGACAAUAUUAAAUGAAUUUACCAAGUGCUCUGAAUCGGGAUAUGUCCAAAACAGGUCACUUACUACGUUAGAAUCAUCCAAAAAUCUACUUCUCCGGAUGUAUUUGUCUUUAUCUAACAACAUCAUUAACUGUUGCAUUUCAGUUCUCGACCCUCUCAAAGAUCGUUUGUAAGUGUAUCUCGUGUUAUAUAUUUGCUUUAUUGUCAUCACGUUAUCUUCAUUAUGUUCUUUAAGAGUCAAAAGAAUAUUUGAGGGUUUAACUUAACUCUUAGUCAUGUCAACAAGAAUUGAUUGUUCAACAGCAUUUAACCUCCCUGCGAAAGGAUGACCAACCAAAGUCUAUGCUAAUUCAUGGUUAUGAUAGCCGCACAUUUUCUUUAGGUUUACCUCCCUGUGUCCUUUAGGUUUACCCCUCAAUCUAAACGGACACUCACAUUUUCUUGUGCCAGAUACACUAGGCUGAACAUCUGGCUUAUACUUCAUAUACUUCCCACUCAUUACACAACCCAACACAAUGAAUGUCUUUUUCCAGUUUCACCAGUUGUUGUGUCAGAUCUUAUAAUCACAACAACAAAUCCAAGGUCGAAUGCAAUCUUUAGAACCCACUCAAUUAAAUCGACGCGUGAUGGGAAGAUUUGAUUAGUGGAAAACUUAUCUGUGUAAUCACCCUCACCGACUUCAUUUAGAAACGAAGAAAAUUCUGACAUAAAAUCAUAAUUUAUUUGAGAAUCGAAAAAUGGAUAGUUAUCCAUCUUAUAUAAUUAAAUACAACCUACAAUAAACAUUACCAUAUUAAAAUUUAACAAAUAACAAUUAAAAAAUUAAGAAAAACUAUUAAAAUUUAAAUAAAAAUUACCAAAUAUAAACAUCUUAUAAAUUAAAUCAAUAUUUUAAAAAAUUAACAGAUAAAAAAAAUGUGUGCAAUAAAUAAAAAAUAUCAAAAAAUAUUCUAAACUAAAUACUAAAUAAAAAAUUUAAAAUUAUUCUAAAUUAAAUAUAACUUCAAAUCAUUAACACGUAUAAAAAAUUAAAAAAUUAAUAACUAAAUAAAAAAUUUCAUAACAAAAUAUUAACUAUUACAUAAAAAAAACACUUAAAUUAUUAACUAAUACAUAAAAAAUAAAUACAAUACAAUAUAACAUAAAAUUUUAUAAACUAAAUACUAAAUAAGUAAAAAAUUAAAUGAAAUAAUAAUUCAUUAACACGUAUAACAAAAUAACUUUAAUAUUAAUAUAGUUUAAAAUAACUUUAAUAUGUUCAAAGUGAGCAUUAAAUUUUAUAGAAAAAUGUCCCACCAUUUAAUCUUUGAGGAGUGCUCGCUGCAUCUCACCUCAUUCUUCCUGCACCUCUAAAUUUACCGUUUUGUCCUUCGUUUAAUAAAAGUCAAAAUGCAAUUAAUGAACACUUAAUGAUUUCUUAACCUUCCUAACUCCCAACAGCCUUCCUGUCUGAGGGUAUAAACCCUAGCAUGCACCUCCUUUGCUGGUUACAUCAGGAGCAACAACAGUGUUUUCCUUCUUCAUUGUUUUAUUGAGUUGAGAGUUAGUGAUUCUGAUUAGUGGUGGUGAACUUUGUUGGUGAACUGUGUUGGUGAUAGCUGGUGUGAGGAGGAAGAGGAAGCUCGAAUAGCUGGUGCGAAGAGGAAGACGAAGCUCGGUCCAGGUUAGAAAUGAACAUCGUUAACCGCCUUUCGCAUCUUGCCGCCGUUCGAACGGCGUUUAAUCUUCGCCGCAAAUCGAAUUGUGGUUUCUCCCAACCGCAUUUCGAGAUGCGUUUUCCUGUGCCGCAAAUCGAACUGCGGUUUUUAAUAAAAUCAAAUUUAGGAUAAUAAUAAUUAUUUAAUUAAUAAAUAAUUUUAUAAAAUUUCUAAAUUCAUAAACAAACAAAAAUAAAAAAAUUAACUAAAAUUAUAUACAUAACAAAUAAUAUAAAAAAAUAUUUAAGAAAUAAAUAAACCAAUUUACGAAAAUAUACUUUACUGAUAAAAAAAAUUAUUUAAUUCAAUAAAUUAAUUAAUACUUAAUCUAAAUUCAUAAUUAAUAAUUAAUCAAAAUUACAUUAACAAUAAAUAAUAUAUAAAAUUUUAUAAACUUAAAAAAAUUAACAAACAACCUAAAAUUAAAAAAACAAAAAUUUAGAAAAAAUCUUAAUGAAAAAAAAAAUAUCAAACCACAGAACGCAAUCUGAGUUGUGUUUCUUCCAACCGCACUACAAAAUGCGGCUUUCUGCGUUUUGCCAACCGCAUUGUGAAAUACGGUUAAUGAAAUCUGCACCCCCAAACCAACCAACCACAGAUCCACCGGCGGUUGGUGGUAAAAUGAUCAGUCAGCUCAAGAGGUGAAUCAAAAGCAACAGAACCUCACAGAUGCACUCUAUCAGUGUUUCUCUCAAGUGUCUAAGGUAAACAAUGUGAACUCAAUGCAUUCAAGAAAGGAAACACAACAGACUUGGCAAGCCUCUAAUAUCAACACUCAAAACAUGUAUGCAUGUUCAAAUCAAAAGGUCUUUUCAUGGUUGUAAUGGGGCCAAGGAAAAGGGAGGAUAAAUAUGGAUGAGAAGCUACAAACCAAAAGAAACAGAGGAGCAACGGGAAACAAGUGUAAACACAGUUAAAUCACACCUAAAACCUCUAAUUCAAUCCUCUUCUUGACUCCAUUAUUCACAAAAGUUUGUUUUUAUUUUUCUGUAUUUUUUUCUUUUUUUUUCUUUUUCAUCUUGUCUCUUUUCUUUUCCCUCUUUUCAUAACACAACUCUAAGAGACAAGAUACACAACAUAUUUAUAAAACAAAAAAAGAAGAGGAACCAACUAGCCAAUUCAUCAAAAUCUCCCAGUAGACCACAUGAUGGAAGAAGGCUCCAAGGAGAUGACUGUCCGAGCAUCGCGAGCUCCUUGAAGCUUUCUCCGGAAGAGAAGGUGCAGCGGAAUGUUGAAGAACCCAUGCUCCUUGCAAGCUACACUACAGAUACAUAUAAUGUAAAAAGAAGACUACAUGAGACAGGAUUCCAUCACCACACUUAUUCCCAAAACAAUUCCAAAGCUCCAAAAUUCCCUAAGGUUUAGGUAAACAUGGUUUUUCACAUUGGGCUAGUGUAUGAGCUUCAAAACAAAGAAAUGGGGAAAGUAUAGGCUCAAAGGGGCUAUCAAUGGAUCACAACAAGGUAGGCUCAUUUGGCUAAAGAGGCUCAAUGACAAAACUGCCUUCAUCAUUUCCAAACAUGCAUAUCAAUCAAGAAUCAUCAACAAGAGUCAAGCCAAGGCAUAUGUGCAAGCAAUCAAGAGACAUAUCACACACAAGAAAGAAUAUCAAGUGGCUCAAAUCUCACACAGGGUAUUUCUGUCACAAUCAAUUCAACCCUCAAACAUCAUAAUCAUCUUUCCAAGCAAAGAAAAUCAAUGAAUUCAACAAAUCAGAGUUUCAAUGAAGUGAAAGACAAGUCUACAACCUAAACCAAAUCCAGAAAUCAAGAGAAACAUGCAAAACUGUACACAAGACACAACAAAAACUACCUAGAAAAAAAAAAUUAACACAGAAAACAUAAACUAACAAAGAAAAAUCAGAGUCUCCCCCAAUAGACCACACUUAAACUACACAGUGUCCUCAAUGUGUCACAAUCAUCAGAUCAGAAAUCAGAACAGUCAACAGAUCAUGGACAAAUGCAAUAAAAGCAGGAAAGGGGGAGAAGGGAAGAGAAAACUCCCCUGAUCAUGGUGGCAUUUGCCAAAUGUGGACUUCCAGGGAGAGGUCUUCCACCAUUGGAUUCAGCAAGGAAGUCUUGAGGAGGAAUUGCUUCAGUCUCCAAAUUUGAUCAAGCAGGGAGAUGUCCUCCACAGCUGGAUCCAAGAAGCAGUGAUUGUUGAUGAGCGGGUUCAGUUGGUGCCUAUUGAUGUUGAAGCUUUUAUGUACUCUGGCAUCCUUGUCUUCCACUAUGGGUGUGUGUUGAUCAAAUUCAUAUGUACCUCUUGCAACAUGGUUAGUGCAACAUGGUUCCACAGAAAUAACAUGCAGGGGUAUAACAUCCAAUCCCAGUGUAACAGGCUAAACCAAUGAUAUACCCUCAGAACCCAAUCCCUGGCAACGGCGCCAAAAUUUUGAUGGGUCGUCGCAGCCCAUACAAAUUUGAUUGCAAUUUAGAAAUGCAGUAUAGUACUAGGAAGUGACUCCAAGGUCGUCUCUCAAUGACCAAAUGUGGUUCGAGAAUUAGAUCAGACACGUAGGGGGGUUGUGAAGAGUUUGUGUGAAUGCGGAUAAACUAAAUCAAAUGACGGAUGCAAACAGAAAUGUAAUACUGAGAUGUAGACAGAAACAUAAAAACGAAAUUUAAAUACAGAAUAAAAACGGUCGGGCAUUAACUCAAUCACCAUGCUUCCAAUCCAACUAACCUAAACUAACAUCAUAAUUAAAUUAAGAAAAAAACUUGUGUGAUCCACUUGAAAAGCAAUUGAUAACUUAAAACAUGCAUCUUCCGACUGAAUAAAAUUCCAAAGAAACAUCGGUGUUAACCAAUUGAAACACAGCCAAAUUAGAAAUAUACAAAAAGUACUUGAACGAAUUUUAAGUGAAACGAGGAAAAUGUAUUAGGAAAACAAUAAAUUGCUAUCCUUAAGCUAAGAAAAUAAAAUGCUCAUAAUCACAAUGGACAUCAUCACAGCAAAGGUGCUAAAGGAAAAAAAAUUAUGUGAAUAAAUGGCAAAUGGCAAUUGGUUAUCAUCCUGUGCACCGAAUAUCACUACUUCUCCAAAAGCAAAUAAAUGAAAUAAAUGAAGCGCAUGUGUUUAAAAUGAGCAUAAAGGUGACGGCCAAAUAUAACUUCUAAAGAAGCUAAAAAUGAAAACCCCUGGUGCUCACCAUCACCGCACCUCCUUUAAUUCAAACCACAUAUCCUCAUUAAUUUGCAUAUCCUCAUGAAUUUCAAAGGAAAGUAAAUGAAACAGUAGCUAAGAGAAAAAUAAAUGAGCACACCACGCUGGAAUAAACCUUCAACCGUAGCCUUCCAUCUUUUCUCUUUUCCCUAAGUGAUGUCUCCCUUGAAGUGCGUGUCGGCUGAAACUUAAAUGAAGAUUUUCAUUUCCUUAAUUCAAGUGUUGGACCGUGGGCUACUCCCUGUGAAAGCUGCUGGUGAGUGCGUGGAGGUGUGUUUCAUGGGCUGCUGCUGGAUGUCACCCCUACUGCCAACGUGUUGCAGCUCUCAUGUGCUGGUUCCACUUGUUAAUUCUCCUGGGCCAUGGUGCUUGCUGUCUGCGUGGAGGCUUGAAAAGAAUCCAGCAGCCUCUUUGACCGUGACAGUAGCUCUUCCAGCACACACCUCUCCAAGCUGCUGGAUUGUUGAAGUGUGGAGUGAAGCCCAGCUGCUGCCCGACACAUGAUUUCUUUCUUCCUGCACCGUGCUGUUUGCUUCUUGCAGCUGGACGUGGACGUGAUAAGCUCCUUCAAGUUGCAGGACACUCCCCUCAAAGCUUGUUGGACUUGUUUUAGGUGCUCCUUUUUGGACCGCUACAACUUGAAGCCCGAAGAUAAGAUUUUUCUGCUGCAGCCCCUCUUCACGUGCAUGUGCUGCUAGAAAACAAAUGUGGAAUGAAGUUGGAUGGGAGCUGGACGUUGCAGCCUUGGGUCGUGCUGUUUGUAGCUGGUGCAACAUUUCCUUUAGCAUGUUGGAAGCCCGCUGAAAGCGUGUAGCUGCACCUCCAAGGUCGACAUUCAAAGCUGCUGCACCGUGAUUCAAAUUGGGCUGCAUCCUCUUCAUUUCUUAAAAGCCUAAAAACCAUGUGAUUCACCGCUUGCUUCCCUAAGCUGCUGGAUGGCGCACCCAUGUGGGUCUUUUUUAUGUAAUUCCAUUUAGCCCAAACAUGCUACAAGAAGAGGUGUAUGGGCCGUGGACGAGCUUCCUCCCUUUUCUUUUUGCUGCACCAGCUGCCACACAAAUGAAAGCACCGUCCAGCUCGUUUACACACUUUGCAUCAGCGCUGCUUUUUUUUAAUUUUAAAAAUCCCAAAGCCAAUUGCCAUUGUGGGCCGAAUUUCCUUUUGCUUGAAUGACUUAACGUGCAGCAGCCCUCAAAUUAAGGUAAAGCAAAAAUUGCUUUAUGCGGCUUCUAUUUUUCAUGGCUGUGAGCAUGCUAAUUGCAAGACAUCACCCCCUUUUCAAUUUAAGCACACAUUUUUCAUAAGCCCAAAAAGUUAAAAUGACCAUAGUAUCCUCUUUCUUGUGCACAUUUCUUUUGUGGAGAGUCUUGCAUUAUGCGACAACCCUUCAAAUGUCCAAAAUUAUAAUUCCAAAAUUUUCCCUGAAAAUAAUAAUGCAAAUAAUUAGAUUAGGAGAUUCAAAUUAAUUAAAGUUAGAAUUUCCGAUCAAAUUUAGCAUAAUUAGGAAAAAUGGGAAAAUACCGGACAAUUAAGCACAAUUCCCUGAUUAAAUCCGGUACAAUAAACUAAGUGCAGUCAAUAAAAUAUCGACUCAUCAGUUGGUCUCUGGCACUAAUCCAGCUACGACAGCGUUAACCGCAAACCCAUUUGCGGUUCGAUAACCCACCCCCCAAAACCCAUCCGCAGUACGAACGGCGACAAGCGUUAACCGCAAACCCAUUUGCGGUUCGACAAUGCACCCCCGAAACCCUCCUCCGAUUCCAUUCUCACAGUUCAUAUACAGAUUUUAAUACACAAUACAGUUCAGAGGAAAAAAUGCAACACAGAUCAAGCAACACACAAAUCAAGCAACAGAGAACAUGAUUCUUAUCAAGACAACAACAUGAUUCUUAAACCCACAACAUUAACCACAUAACCAGAUCUACGAAUGGAAAAAACACAAAAGGAAAAAUACUAACCUGGACGCCAGAAAGACUUCAAACACGAAAAGAAGUGGUACUCAGCUACACACGAACGCCAAACACAGAUAGCAGCAACUCCACUUCAAAAACUUGGUGUUGGAGCGGAUGAGAGCAAGAAGGUAAAGGGUAGAAUGAAAAAAAGGGGGUGUAGGGUUUGUGAGUGUGAGUUGCAACAGGGUUAGGUAACUUUUUAUAAAAACAAUGAAUAGGUCAGUUUUAUAGGGGUUAGGGUUACAGUAGGAAUUAAAUUAUAAUUUGGAGAUGCAGAACGAGAUGAAGGAGGUGAAGGGAGGAACACUCUUAAUCUUUUCGGAAGUUUACUCCUAAAUAUCCAAGAAUCUCCUCAUCUCACUUUUAUUCACAAAUUCACGUGCUCCUCUUAAAUUUUAAUACCACCUUGUAUGAUAAAAAUCAACCCAAGGCUUUGCUACUAAUUUUAUAACUAAGGCAGUUAAUAUUAUAAUUAAAGAAAAGUGAAAACUUUGCACACUUAUAAUAAAGGAAGGAUAAUGAUAUUUAGACAACAUUGUUUUGACAACAUUUGAACAUUGAUUAUGUGUCAAUAUGUGAUUGAUCAAAAAUUAUUCCACAAUCAAUAAUAAUAAUUAUAAACAUUAUUAUGGAGUAAUUUUUGACCAAUCACAGAUUGACACGUAAUCAAUGUUUAAAUGUUGUCAAAAAAAUAUUGUCUAACUAUCAAUGAUAAAAUCCUUCUCUCUUUUAUCCAAUUAACUUAAGCUCCCUCUUCUAUUUUUUUUUUCACAUAAACAACUUACUCCUUUCUUCUUUCUUUUUCUUUAUUUUUUUCUCUUCCAAAUCAAAAGUAUUUUUCAACACACCUAAAUUUUUACAUUUAUUUAAUAUUAUCUUUAUUUGGUUUUUAUUCUCAUCUUUUUUGAAAAACUAUAAAACUUUAUACUUUUUAGACUAUUUUAUUCUUGCAUUAUGUGUCAAAUAAACGUAAAAUUGUGUCAUAUGGUAUCAUUACUCCUUCCAAUUUCCUUCACCUCAUACCUAUCUAUUAGAAACCCCUCCCUCUGCAUACAGAAACAGUAUUAUCCUUACUCUAAUGUAUAACACAAAACCUCACUUAAUAUUUUUAACCCUUCUAUUGUUAUUCGAAAAUAUCAUUCCUUAAUCUUUUCCACUAUUCUGCUGUAACUCUAUCAUUUCCUAUACAUUGCAUGGCCAAUAAAAGAAAAGUAUAACCUAACUCUUCCUCUGUUCUCAUCCACUCUUCUUAUACUAAAGGAAAUAAUAAUAAAACGUUCAAUUACGAAAAUAAAUAACCAUACAAAAUCAAACUGAAUAAAAAAACUGGAUGAUCUAACACAAUAGUCCACAUGUUUCAGAAUGCAAUGUGCAAAUAACAUCCCAUAAUGAAACUGCACAUUGACAUGAUUCAUAAGCAAUCAAAUGAUCAUAAGCAAGCAUGGCCUAGGUUAAAAUUAACAACACAGUGAAACCGGACAUGGAAGUGUGACACUCCUAAACCGCAGGUCGAAGUACGAUUGGGGUUCAGCCGAAAUUCUAAUUUCGACUACGUGUAACCAGCGUUCAGACUAUGCCACCCUAAACCACAACUCCAUUGACGAUGUUUAAGGCGUUUACUUGAAAUAAUGUUUUCGUGCUGUGCUAGAGUUGGGAGUUGCUAGAGAAUACAAGAAGUCGAAGAGGAAGUGUUCGUGUUGUGUUAGGUUGGAGUUGAUAGAGAAUCCGAGAAGUUAAAGAGCAAGUGUUUAAAGAGCAAGUGUUCGUGUUGUGCUAGUGUUGGAGUGAUAGAGAAUGCGAGAAUUCCAUAGGUGCCGCUUAAUGUAUGCUUCUUCUUCGUUUCUUCUUUUGUUAUCAUUUUUGUAUCUUUCCAUUCCUCUUUGCUCGUGAACCCUAGAGUAAGGGGGGCAAAUUUGAUUAGUUUCACCGUUUGACAAAUUUGAUUGUCUUGUAUUGUAAGUAAAUUUUGAUUUAUGUUGUCAAUUUUACUUUGAUCAUAUCAUGAAUAUAUUUUAGUUUGAACCUGAGAAAGUUAGUAUGUAGAUGAAACUUUUGUUUGGAUUAGUGUGUUUGGUGAUAAUUUGAUACUUUCAACCUCUUCGACCUUGUUCUGCUUCUUUCUUCGGUUUUAGUGUAAUUCAGAGUCAAUUUCCUUCUUUUUUUUUAUACAUGUAAAGCUUUUUGAUUGCCAAAAUCAGGGUAUAAUUUCUUGUGUAAAUCUUAAAUACGAAAAACUAUUAAUUUCUGAAACUUCAUCAGUAUUCAUUUCAUGAAGAAAAUAAUAAUUAACAAAUUGGUUAGGAUUUUUUAGAUGGUUUUACAGUUCACAACAAACUGUGAUAUAACGUGUUGAGCUGAGUUUGGAUUAUUGACAUUGAUUAAUGGAAGAAAAUACAAAAUUUUCUUCCACUUUUGCUGAGUUUCUGUCAUUCCUCCUGCAUAUAUUUCUAUAUAUAGGCGUCGUCAUCAUUAGCGUUACUAGAGAGAGAGACAAAAGCUAUAGUUAGUAUUUCUUAAUUGAGAACCCUUUGGAUCUUUGCUCGUGUCAUUGAUUUAGGUUCACCUAUGAAACCAAGCAAUGAUUUGCAAGCGAGCGUUAUCAGUUGUGACUUUAAAGCAUGGCUGCUCAGUUUAUACCCUACUACUGGCCACGUUCAUGAUAAAAUUAUUGAUAUCAUAUGGUUAUAAAAGAUAAAAAAACAAAGCUUCAAAUUCUUAGCUUUGAGCUGCUUUUGCUUUAUUUCUUUGUUUUAUAUUACGAUUCUACACCUAUGAAACACAUGAUGAAAAAUUAUAUUUUUAAUUUUUAAGCUGAUUUUUUUCUAAGUCAUUUCAUAUUUCAAAAUAAAACUAUUAUAUCGGCACCUUGAUAUCAUAUGCCACAUUUUCUUAGGCCUUAAAAUGGGUGUUCGUGUUUGUGUUACAUUGUUGUUUAAUUAUUUUAAGCCCUAUUUGUUGGAAAACUCUGCGUACAAAAGAAGUGAAGCUUGUUGUGAAGAUAAAAACUGACAUGAAUGUAAUGUUGUUUUACAGGCUUUUCAAGCAGAGGCAACAAGAAUUCAGUUGUAUCCUCCAGGUGAGGUCAAAGAUUUCAACCUUUGGAGAAUUUAGUGGACCUACUGAAGUUACUUGUGGUGGUAAUGCAUUAAAAUUCUAUGUUUCUGUGCGUCUAAAUAUCAAGAGAACAGGGUUUGUCAAAAAGGAUGAAGAGGUAAUCAUAUGUUCGAAUGUUUGUUUCAAAAGAUAAAAUCUGCUUCAGUUUAAUGGAAUCAACAAUGUUCUGAUCUGAAGUAGGUCUUCCUUUAAAUGUAGAUUCCAAGUUACUUCCUUUGUUAAUAUACUUUGGACGUGAGUGGUGUAGAUGUAAAGCUUUUGAAAUUAAUUGAAGUUGCUUGCUUAUUUAUGGUUAAUAUUCAGUGUAUUCUAUAUUCUGUAGCAAAGUAGAUUUUCCAUAUUAAAAAGGAAAAGAGAAAUGCUCUAACACACUAAUUAAUUGAAAUUAAUUGGAAAUCACAUAAUAUUAUUACACCCACUUCCAGCUAAUAAAUUUCAUUCAUGAUUACAUAAUUUCCAAGAAAUUUAAAUCGAUAGUGAAGAUUGCGUUAAAACAGUUUGUGUUAGAGUGUAUUAUAAUAUACAAGGGGUGUACUGCCAACACUAAAGAAAAUAUAUUAGCAUUAGCAUUAUUAAUUCGAGACCAAGCUUGUUAAUUUUGGGGUGAAGGCAAAGAUGAAAAGGUUCAUUAUUACAUAAGAAGGAAAAUUUAAUCUUUCACGAGUAAUUCUUUUUCCAAAGACCAAACAGCAAUAUUUAACAAAUUGUCUUGGUAAAAUAAUGAGUUUGAUAUGUGUAUUAUCUAUAUAAAACUUUUGAUUGAUUAGUUAAUAAAAAAUCGUGAUUCUAGAAUUAAUUAUUAUGGCAAUUUAUAAAUUGAUUAUGUAUGGUAAUUGUGUUGUUGUAUAUUGGUUGUAAACUUUUUUUACCACUUUGAAUGAUACUCUUUGUAUGUGCAGGUUUUUGCAAGUGAUAUUAGGCGUCCAACUACUGAACUACUUCGUUUCUCAAUAUCAAUUGUUACUAGCAAGCUUCCAACACGUUUCGUUGAUGACAUCCUUAGCAAAUUGAUUCCACCUGUUCACAAUGACAAACCUAAAGGCAAUGGAGCUAACAAGAAUAAUUAAAAGUGGAACAAAUUGAGGACUUUCAUAGUUUGCUUAUUUGAAUUUUAGUUUAAUCGUUAUUGUCAGUUUCGAUUAUUGUACGCGUUUACAAGGCUUUGUUAUGUACUACAAUUAGUGAAGUACAAAAGUCAGCUUCAUGAAUGUGUUGCUGCAUUAAGUGGUAAUGUAAUGUAUGUUAUGUUCUAAGUUUUAUAUGAUGUUGUUGUGAUAUAAAAAGAAAUUGACAAUUUUGUGCAGUAACUGCUUAUACCUUGUUCACUAUGUGCUUAUAUAAUACAUUACUUAUGUAUAAUUGACAAAAUGGUUAAUAAAGAAUUAUAAUGAUUAAAGGAAAUAAUUAUCAGCAGUAAAACACUCAUGCAAGACAUAUGGCACAAGUGAGUGAAAAAUGGAUUUCAUAAAAGACUUUUUGUUUAAUUCAAUCUCAAUGACCACAUAUCUCUUGGUGCAGUAAGUGGUUAUCUCCUAAGUCGUAUGUGGUUAUAUCUGAAGUGUGUUUUGUACAAAAAUAAAAGUUUUUAUUCAAUCCCAAUGACCACUUUUUUUGGUGCAGUAAGUGGUUAUUUCCUUAGCCGUGUGUGGUUAUAUCUGAACUAUGUUUUGUACAACAAUAAAAGUGUUUAAUUCAAUUCCAAUGACCACAUAUCUCUUGGUGCAGUAAGUGGUCAUCUCCUAAGCCGUAUGUGGUUAUACCUUACCACUUUUUUUUGGUGCAGUAAGUGGUUAUUACCUAAGUCGUAUAUGGUUAUAUCUGAACUGUGUUUUGUACAACAAUAAAAGUGUUUAAUUCAAUCCCAAUGACCACAUAUCUGUUGGUGCAGUAAGUGGUUAUCUCCCAAGCCGUAUGUGGUUAUAUCUGAACUGUGUUUUGUACAACAAUAAAAGUGUUUAAUUCAAUCCCAAUGACUACAUAUCUUUUGGUGCAGUAAGUGAUUAUCUCCUAAGUCCUAUGUGGUUACUUUAGUAAGGUGUUUUGUACAACAAUAAAAGUGGUUUUAUUCAAUCCCAAUGACCACAUAUUUUUUGGUACAACAAGUGGUUAUCUCCUAAGCUGUAUAUGGUUAUAUUUGAACUGCGUUUUGUAAAAAAAUAAAAGUGUUUUAUUCAAUCCCAAUGGCCACUUCUUUUGGUGCAGUAAGUGUUUUAUUUCCUUAGCCGUAUGUGGUUAUAUCUGAAAAUCUUAAAUAAUUUGCAAGCCAAGCUCAACUUUCCCUUUGACAGAAAUAUAGACAACAAAGUAUUCAGCAUAUCAACAUCAAAAAAGUUGGGAAGAAUAGCCAGUAAAGCACAUUUGAUUGCCCAAUUUAUCCUGUCCUAAUCACUCGUAUUUCGUGAACAUUGUAUUCAAUAUGUACAUUAAUUGUUCCCUUACUUCAAUGUAUUCAACAUAGUGAUGUUGUCCUACUUCAUGACUUAAUCAAUGCCUAAACCAUCCCACAUUUCUUCAAUACCAUACUCUGAUGAACAUUAUCUUCGUGUAAUACCCACUGACAAACCAUUUGUUGUCGCACAACUUGUAAUUGUUCCUGCAAUAACAAUACUCUUGUUAAAUAUUACAAUUGAAAACCUUUUAUCAUAAAUCAUAUUAAAAUAACCAUAUACAUAAAUAAUACAAGCUGUUGUGUAAUCAGGCAUUUUAUUCCCAUCAAAUUUUGGUGUGUGGUCCCAUAACUCCAUAUAUUUAAUCACCAAGAUACCACAAUCAUACCCACACAUCAAACAAAUAUUAGAAACAAGUGGUUAUAUGAUGGAGCCCAAUAAAUUGACCAUGGACAAUUUCACUAACAUAUUUGGUUGUACAGGCAAAUCUUCUUCAAUCACAUUCAACUCCUGCUCCUUACAGUUUGACUCUAAGUCAAUCGUAUUGCCAAGUGGCAACCUUAGAAAUUGAUAUUCAACACAUAAAAUACUAUUGUAAAUGUUAUCUUUUAAAAGUAAAGUUCACUUAAAAGAAAAAGAGUACAACAAAAUUUGUCUUACCAUAGCCUUGUCAAAUUUUUUUCUGGACCGCCUUUUGUGACCAAGGGAAUCCAAAAUGAACAAUUUCCAUGUUAUCAGUACUUUUAAUAUAUGAAUACUAGCAUUGGUUUAAGACUUUUUUACAACUUCUAUUCUAGCAUAAUAAGAUUCACAUUCUAAUUAAUGCUUUAUUUAGUUUAUAAUUGCAUUGUUUUUGUAAACAAGAGGUCCUUGUUGCUGCAACAAUGCUAAAUAUUCGUUAAUUUGCACUCGAGAAUAUACAUAACCUAGUAUUAAGAAUUAUACUAAUGUACUAUAUUCUUAAUGCAGAAAAAGAGUAUUCGAAAUAUUUUUUGUGUGUAUAACACUUCUUUUUCUAUUACAUAUAUUAUAAUAAUGAUAAUUAUUAUUAUUAUUACUAUAAGAUUUGAUGUUCCUUGAAGAAACAUUUUAUAGGUGAAGAAACAUUAUUAAACAAUGGAAUAUUUAUAUGUAUGACUCAUGCAGAGCAAACAAAGGAUUGUGUUACAAUGUGGGCUACUUCUAUUACUUCCUCCAAGGUCAACUUAAAUGGAUAAUCAAAACAAUUUCAUUUUCUUCUUCUUCUUUUCAUCAAUGUUAAUGAAAGUACCAAGGGUGUAUUAUUUUUUAAAAAAUAGAAACAUGUUUGAGUUUUUCUGGGGUGUUGUGUUGUGUUUGGUCCAAAUUUGUCUAUACAGAGUGAAGAUAGGAUAUAUUCCUUAGGUGUGUGUGUCUGUCUAAGAAAUUUAGGCAAAAAAAUGUGAUGUUGAGCUCCAUGAAAGAAAAGCAAAGCUAAAAGAAAGAAAAAUAGAAAAACAAAAGUAAAAACAGGAGACAAAGGAGCAAUCAUGGCCAUCUAUCUACACCGUAAACAUCAUUUGGGACCCUCCAUCAUUUUCCUCUUGACUGCUCCAAACAAUGUAUUAUAAACGUGAAACCUAGCCAUCAUCUGAUUAACAUACUUUAUGAGAGCAUAAGAUUUCCAUGCUGGACCCCUCUUCUACUUCUUCUAUAUGUCAAAUUCAUAAUUUCAUAACACAACCUCAAAUUACACACCAAAAUCAAAACAUACUGCAUAAUAAUAGCACUAGUAGAUUAAAGAGUUUACCACCAGAAUAAAGGGAAAAUAAUAGUACUAUCUUAUGAUACUCAUUUCAAACAUGAUUUUCAUAUUUACUCAUAUUGUCAAAGUUCUUUUAUAUCUUCAAUUGCAUGUAAAUUAAGCUUUACUUUUAUUUUACUAUAGGUGUAAACUAUUUGGUGCUUCUGGUAUAUAUGUGUGUGUGUUUUGUGAAAGAAUAUGAUUUAAUAUAGUAAUUAGAAGAGGUGGUUGUAACGCGCUUAACCAUGGAGUUCUUAUGAGUUAGGCUACCGAAAAGCAAAUGCAUUUGUUGAUAUGAGUAGCCAAAUCAAUUCCUUUAAGUUAUCCUUCAACCGUAUAGUCCCAUACCUAUACAGUCUCUAGAUCCCUCUCAUUCCGGUGUAUGUUCGAUUCUUCCAUGUACCCCUUCCAUUGGAAGCCUGCCAAGAGCCGCUCCUUGUCCGUGCCCCCUGCACCAUGCCUCUUGCACCGGCGAUCACUCCCCGCCCUCGUCAGUGCCCGAGUGUCACAGUGGUGGUCCAUCAAGUACACACAGCUUUGUCUUGCUUAUCAAGCAUCCCCACCCAUCUCUUUUUCUCUCUCUCUUGUGUGUGCAAAACAUUCAUGCAAAAAGCAUCAUGAUCAGCACUCCAGCUCAAAACCCAUGUGAGUUUCUAUCAUCCCUUUUUCCCUUAUUUCCAUCUAGGUGUCUCACCAUGUCUUUUUUUUCUUUCUCUCUCCCUAAAAAUCUUAGCUUUAAUUUGUUAUUCUUAAGCAUAAUAAUUCUUUGACACGGAUCAUGAAAUUUACAUUCUUUGACAUGACUAAUCCAUAUAACCCAUAUUCGCUCUAAUUAGCGUCAUAACAUUUCUAGACCAACAAAAUAGUUUUCAUUCAAACAUGUAACCCAAUAGAGCAUACUCUAAUGUUCUAGUUCAUAACAAUUUCAAAUAUUAAUACCCAACCUCAAAAGCGAAACGCGAAAUCAAAGCGCAACCAUAAUGUACUUCAAAAGCGAAACGCGAAAUCAAAAUACAAUAACCCACCCCCACUUACUAGAGAUAAAAAAACAAAACACCUACCUCAAACUCACAAUCGAAAGACAAGAUUGAGAACGACACCAGAGAUGGAAGCACCGCUUGAAGUACCGAUUGAAGCACAUAUGAUGGAAGCUGGCCAAGGUCUGGAAUCAAGGUGAAACAACUCCAAACAGCAAGCAAGCGUCAGACAAAGUGUUGCAGCAGACAAUGAUGUUGAUGCAGUGGAUAUGGAUGAAUGCAGUGGUGUUUCUGUUUAGUGAAAUAGAAGGAGUAUGUGUGUUAUCCCCUCAGCUCAGAAGGCCUUCCCAUUAUGGAAUGCCCUAAAUGGGUUUCCAUCAUACCCUCCCUNUUGAAAAACGAUUUGUCCUCAAAUCGGAAGGUAAAAAGAAGCACAACUUUGGUUUGUUACUUUCCUCCUGGAUCAAAAACAUAUCUACAAUAAGCAUCAAAUAUAUCUCCAAUUAGUAUAAAUCCAAGAAAUAAUUUUUUUUAUGGAAGUAACUUUAGAAUAAGGACUUUGAUUUAUAGUUUUAAGAGAAUUUGAAAGUCCUAAUUCAUAAGUAACUUUUCUUUUAUCUUGAGUUUCUUGUAUCUUCAAGGANAACAAUAACUCAAGAUUUAAAUUGNCAUAUUUUGAAAAAGGUAGUAUAAUAGGAAAUGGUAUGGCAAUUUGAAGGUAGAAGUUAACAUUUAAAGAUUUAAAACUGAAUAGGAAAGAAUUAAGGAAUUGGGAACCUUCCUUUUUGGGUUCCAUGAUGUUUGGAGAAGUUGAAUUUGCUAUCAGUAGCAAUUUCUUCUUUUCUCUCUUUUCUCUUCUCUCUUUUUCUUCUUCUUUUCUUUCUUCUUCCUUUCUUCUCUCUUCUUUCUUUCUUCUCUCAUCUUCUUCUCUCUUCUCUUCUUUUCUCUCUUCUUUCUUUCUUCUCUCUUCUCUUCUUUUCUCUCUUCUUCCUUUCUUCUCUCAUCUUCUUCUCUUUUUUCUCUCAAUUCCUCUUCUCUCCUUCUAGUCUCUCUCUUUCUUCUCUUAUCCAAGAGUUUCUUAAGUUUUUCUUUAAAUUCAAUUUCCCUACGAGAGAAACCAUCUAGACCUUUCAUAAAUGUUUUUCCCUCUUGAAUGAGGUGUCCCAUUAAUUCUAGGUCUUUCUUGGCUGAAAGAGGAACAAAAUUUCUUCUCAUGCAAGCUCUUAGUUCAUACCAAUCAUGAAUGGAGGAUUUUCUACCUUUCUUAACACUAUAUUGUCUCUCAUUCCACCAUUAUCUUGCAUGCUCUUCAAACCUAGAGAGAUAUAUACUAAGAACAUGAGAUUCACUCUCUCUAGAAAGAAAAAUAGAACCAUAGGCUCUAGACUCACUUUUGUUAAUAAGGGAAGGAUGCAUCUUAUCAAUUUCUUUUUCCCAAGCUAGAUAUGUUAAAGCACUAAUGUCCUUACCAAAGAAUGGAAUAUCUUUCCUAGCUUGAUUGUACCUUUCAUCCUUCCUUCUUUCUUUUUGCUCAUCCUCAUUUUGAUUUUUCAUGUAUUGGGCAAACAAGUCUCUAAGCUCACUCAUUUCUAUUUCUCUUUGUUGAAACUUUUGUUCAAAUUCUUCUCUUAGUUGUGAGCCCUUACUACUAAAUUUCAUACUCCCUUGGACACUUGAUUGACUCAUUCUAGUCAAGUAGGAAAAAAUUUCACAAAGUUUUCAAAGACAUGACAAGUAUUGAGUGGAAAAUGUUUUCACAAACUCUCUUUGUUUUUGGUGAAAAACUUCUACAAAGAUUCUAAAGGUAAAAAUAUUCCAAGUAGCUCCCAGGAAGAAGAGGUGAGUCACAAGUGGACAAGCUUAGAGGCUAAAGAAAUUGAUGAACUCAAUUGGAACAACACUCAGUAAAAGCUAGCACGCAACAGGAACCUAACAAAGGCACUAGAAUAGAUGAAGAAAGCAAGAAAAAUAAAAAACGCAGUUCACAAAUGCAACCAGCCAAACUAUUUGAUAAAUUUCCAAAAGUGUUUGAUGAAAUGCCCCAAAGAAUUUCAGAUUUUGAGAUUUUGAAUUUCAGGGCUUGUAAUCUGGAUUGCACGGUUCUAUAAGCUUUCUAACACUUGAUAUUACUUUUUUCAAUCAUUUAUUUUCAUUUUUAAGCAUUGAACCAGCUCUUGCUGCAAUCCAAAAUGAAAUUUGCACAGAAAAAUACCAAACAGCAGCUGCAACCCGUGACUGCACCAGAAAAAUGGGUUGAUUUUGGUGGUUUGAUGUCCAAUUUCAUGUGGAAUUGUUUUAAACUCACAACUAACAGUUCAAGCAACUUUGAUUGAUGAUUUUGAAUGUGUUUAAACUCUGAAACAACUUAUAAACUGUUGACAAUUCAAAAUCAUCAUUCAACUUCCAUUUUAACCCAAAAAUUGAUGGUUUCAAAUGCAAAUAUGCAUAUAAGACAUGUUUUAACCAAAUGAACAGUGCUAGCAGCUGUAAACCAUCAAUUUAAACUUGUCCAAACUGUGAAACAACAGAGGAAUAACAUAUUUCGAAAUUUCACUACUACUGUACCAAUUUAUGCAGUAAAAUGCAUUAAAUCACCAUCAAAAUCAGUUUUCCAUGUGAUUCAAGUACUGGACAGCAAAGGAAAAGACUCUAGAAAUUGUAAUUUACUGAACUAAGCUAGUAUUGAGAUGCUUAGUGUGACCAAACUCAAAAAUAUACCAAAUAAGAGAUGACAGCACGGUGAAUAGCUGGACAACAAAUUGGAUCAAUGAAUGACUUAAGGGUUUUAAGCAACCAAGCUAUGCAUAUUGCAUUUCAUUACUUAUUCUGGUUUGCUACACCUUAAGACACAUUCAAAAAGAUUAAACAAUGUUGUACCAAGCUUUAGAAUCAAAGAAAUCAAUGAAAACAAUUUUUGAAACUCAAAUGCCAAAUCAAAAUUGUUGUAUCAGAUUUUCAAACAGCAACAAAACCAGAUUUGAUGUUUGGAACUUUAGCUUGUAUUACCAAGGCUGGAUCAAGUCUUCAUUGCCUUAAUUGGUAUAUAUACAGCUUAUUUAGCUCUCCAAACUCAAGAAAACAACCAACGUAAACCAGCAGAACCGAAAACUAAAGAUAACAGAAUUAAAAACUGCAUCAGAAUUUUGAGCACAUGACUUGACAAACUAGAAUGAAAUAAAGUUGGAAGAGGUAUAAGCAAUGAAGUUUCACCGAUUAAAAUGAAAGAUAAACAUGUUCACACACUGGAAACACGAAAUUAGCACUGUAAACACUGAAUUAAGCACAAAACAUAAUUAAAAGAACACCAAAACAGAGAUCUGAAAGGCACAUGACAGGAAUUAAAAAUAAAAAACAGAAUUGAAUUAAGAGAUGGAGAAAAUGACUUAGCUAUGGGAGCAUGGACAACCACAACUCUGAUACCACUUGAUGGAAGCUGGCCAAGGUCUGGAAUCAAGGUGAAACAACUCCAAACAACAAGCAAGCGUCAGACAGAGUGUUGCAGCGGACAAUGAUGUUGAUGCAGUGGAUAUGGAUGAAUGCAAUGGUGUUUCUGUUUAGUGAAAUGGAAGGAGUGUGUGUGUUAUCCCCUCAGCUCAUAAGGUUUUCCCACUAUGGAAGGAAGCUAGAGGAAAGGGUAGAGAAAGUGAAGAGAAUUGGUGACUCAAGAGCAAAGGAAGCUGGAAAUUCAUUUUCUUGUAGUAUAACACUCAAGCUCUAAAGUGAUUUCAUACAAAGGGGAGGCCCUCUUAUUUAUAGGUGAAGAUGGGCCUCUUUUCUGAAAUCAAAUCCCUCCUAAUUUCAAAUGGAAUGCCUAGAAGAAGCGCCAAAUCUCUCCAACAAGUCCCAUGUCGUGCUCCAGGUCAGCUACUCACGUGGGGAAGCAUGCUUUCAUCCAACGUUGGGCCAUUUUNGGGUUUUGGCUGGGCGCAUAUGGCUUUGGUAUUUCCGUGAACAAUUCCCAUUCCUCUUGGGCUCCACCACCUCCUUUUAUUGGUCCUACUUCUUGGAUGGCUCAAUCAAAGUCUCCAAGCUUUAUUUAGGCCCUACAAAACAAAGUAAACAUGUUUUAGUUAAUCCUUCUAAGACUUAGAGAAAGAAAGUCAAGAAAGUUUUAGAAAGUCNUUNUUNAACUUCCCUUUCUUAGUCUUAGCUUGAGUUGCUACUUCUUUGAAUGGAAUGCCCUAAAUGGGUUUCCAUCAACAUAAGAAGCAAAAAUCAGAAGCACACAGAUGGAGAAGAAUGCUUGACAAAGAAAACCUAAAUGGAUUUGAUAAUGAGGAGCGAAAGAAUAACAUUUUCCAAAUUCAACUUUUUCCAAUUUUACCCUCAUCCACUGCUGUGCAUUUUUUUUUUUCAAAAGACUGAGCUGGACCGUGUCAUAUGAAUGUAGAUUACAUGUGGACCGUGUCAUAUGAAUGUAGAUUACAUGUAGGCGUGUCAUUGUAUUACUGUUUUGCAACCACAUUAUGCCAAUAUCAUCUGAUUAACUUCGAGAUUGUCGUUAAAGCAAUACUAACUCAUGUUUAAAAAAAAAACACUCAUAACUAUCUUGAAUCUAACAAUCAUGACUAUCUUGAAUCUAACAAUCAUGACUUGAUCUUAAAGUAGAUUUUAAAUAAAGAUUCAUAACAAAAACAUGAAAAACUUCCAGAAAUGGCUAAUUAACAUCACAGGCUCCUUAAGAAAGCAUGCAAGCUUUAAAGAAGCCUGAUUUGUUUUAUUUAUUUUUUACUAUAUUGUACUUGGCCAUAGGUGCAUUCUACAGUUUGUGUAAAAUGAUAUGAACCCCACGCUCAGGCUGCAGAGUAAUAAUAAAGGAGGGGGCAUGAGUAUAAGAGGGAGAAAACUCGAGGGAGAAACGCUGCAGGAUCAUUGACACUGCUACUUUUGCUUCUAACAAACCAAAGUUUUGUCCUAUGCAGAGACGAGGACCCCAUCCAAAUGGCAAGUAUGAAAGCUUCCCUUUUGUUGCUUUUGAAACACCUUCUGAGAAUCUUUCUGGAUUGAACUCUCCUGCAUCAUCUCCCCAAUACUCCUUUUCCUGAUGUAUUAUUGACACAGGCACUACAAGCUCCACUCCUGCAGGAAUUGUCAGCUCUCCAAGUUUUGUAUCUUUACGAAGAUACCGAGCGAUCAUAACCGCAGGUGAAUAUAAUCUCAGACUCUCCUGUAGAAUCAUUGACACCUAUUCGAUACAAUAGAUAGUAAAAGAUGUUAUCUCUUAAAAUAGAAUAAAAAUAUAUCUCUUAAUCGUUUAACAUAAAACCGUGUUGAAUAGGUUUUAAAUUAAUGAUGUAAUAUUAUCGUGUGUGGUUAUAAAAUAGCUUACAACUUUAAGCUGUCCAAGCCUUUCAUAAUCUGGUUUUUCAAUACCAAAGACCUGAAAAACCUCUUUCCUGGCCUUUGCUUGCCAAUCAGGAUGCUUGCUUAAUAAUAACAGAGUCCAGACUAGUAACUCUGCAUUUGCUUCCUGUCCUGCUAAGUAGAAUAGCUUCACUUCUUCAACUACUUCUCUUAAACUCAUUCCUCCACCAGUAUUUUUUUCAGAUUCUUUGUAAUUUGAUUCUAAGAGUAUGCCUAACAAGUCAUUGUUUGUGGGCUCCCCUGUUUUCAUUGCUUUCAAUCUUCGGUUGAUGAUUUUCAUAAGUGAUGCUCUUAUUUCGUUGUCAAUUGCUUUCAUCCUCCUAUUGGUAUGUGUUGGCAGAAACCUAUCACAUGCAAAAAACAAAAUUACACUCAUUUGAACCUUUCCUACCUUAUUUUUUAGAAGAUUGUUAUAAAAAAUUGUUAUCAUGUGAAAUUCCAUGAACGUGUCACAGAGUUGGUAAAUGUAGUAUUACCUGUAACCUGGGAUGAAAGCAAACUUAAAAAGCGUCAUUGUAAGUUGAAGCAUUUCCCUUUGAAGUUCGAAUACUCUUUUUCCUUCUUGGUAGCUGCUUCCAAAGCCUGCACGAGUAAGGACGUCGCUUGACACGUUUUGAACGAAUGGCCAUAAAUCUAACUCACUCGACCCAUUGGACGAAGAUAACACACUCUCCAAUUGCGAGAUCAACAAAUCGCAACUCUCGCAAAAUAUCGGUAUUAAAACCUGUAUCAAUUUUUCACCAAUCAUAAACACAACCUUAACCUUCACAUAAUAAAGUGAACAUAAACCAGAAACUAACCUUCAAUCUCUCUACAUUGAAUGCCGGACUCACUAUCUUUCUGUGUUUAGCCCACUUGUCACCGUCAUAAUUUGCAAAUCCUGAAGCCAGGAGCUUGAAAAGUGGACUUGUGUCGGGCUUUUGAAAGUCAUAAACUUUUGUAGCCAUUUCUUUGAUUUUUUCUGGAUCCAAUACGAAUAGUCUUGGUCGUGGUCCAAGCCACAUAAAUGAAUUCUUACCUGUAGAGUUGAUCAGUUUAGCUUCCAUUUUCGAGAGUAAUAAGAUUGUCGGAUAAAAAAAACAGAAAAGAGUGAUACGAGAAUGGACCGUAUUUAGCGAUGGUGUGAACGACAUAAGGCAAUACACGAGGAGCAAUGUCAUUAGAAUGAGGAUCCAUGGGUUUGGAUUUGACUUCCUUGACCAUUUUAACCAUAUCUCUGAUAUCUCCGAUUAAGGGACGGUAGGAAUUGCCUUGGAUACCUUGCUCCUUCAGACGCCUCUCUAUUCUCUUAGGUCUCAGCCACACCCAGUUGAGAGCAUUCCAGAACCACCAUAUCAGCACCGUCGCAAUCAAAGUAACGAUGACGUCACAUGUUGAUGGGUUCAAAUUAAGAGAUGAUAUUGCUAAAGCUCCC